GGCAACAUGCCCGAGUGGUUAAGGGGACAGACUUGAAAUCUGUUGACUUCGGUCGCGUAGGUUCGAACCCUGCUGUUGUCG
rnacentral:tRNA from 1 species